UCCGGAGGGUGCAAUCGUUAUUCGGAAUUACUGGGCGUAAAGCGCGUGUAGGCGGGAAGGUAAGUCUGAUGUGAAAGCCCUGGGCUCAACCUGGGAAGUGCAUUGGAUACUGCUUUUCUUGAGUUCUGGAGAGGAUGGGGGAAUUCCCGGUGUAGAGGUGAAAUUCGUAGAGAUCGGGAGGAAUAUCAGUGGCGAAGGCGCCCAUCUGGACGGCAACUGACGCUGAGACGCGAAAGCGUGGGGAGGAAACAGG
rnacentral:rRNA from 1 species